rfam:Salmo salar isolate Sally breed double haploid chromosome ssa13, whole genome shotgun sequence.
UGCACGCACCAUUGUAAAUUGCUUUGGAUAAAAGUAUCUGUUAAAUGGCAUAUC